UACGUAGGGGGCAAGCGUUGUCCGGAUUUAUUGGGCGUAAAGAGCGUGUAGGCGGUUUGGUAGGUCCGUUGUGAAAACUCGAGGCUCAACCUCGAGACGCCGGCGGAAACCAUCAGGCUAGAGUCCGGAAGAGGAGAGUGGAAUUCCUGGUGUAGCGGUGAAAUGCGCAGAUAUCAGGAAGAACACCCGUGGCUAAGGCGGCUCUCUAGUACGGUACUGACGCUGAGGAGCGAAAGCGUGGGGAGCGAACAGG
rnacentral:rRNA from 1 species